rnacentral:rRNA from 1 species
GACGAACGCUGGCGGCGUGCCUAAUACAUGCAAGUAGAACGCUGAAGAGAGGAGCUUGCUCUUCUUGGAUGAGUUGCGAACGGGUGAGUAACGCGUAGGUAACCUGCCUUGUAGCGGGGGAUAACUAUUGGAAACGAUAGCUAAUACCGCAUAACAAUGGAUGACACAUGUCAUUUAUUUGAAAGGGGCAAUUGCUCCACUACAAGAUGGACCUGCGUUGUAUUAGCUAGUAGGUGAGGUAAUGGCUCACCUAGGCGACGAUACAUAGCCGACCUGAGAGGGUGAUCGGCCACACUGGGACUGAGACACGGCCCAGACUCCUACGGGAGGCAGCAGUAGGGAAUCUUCGGCAAUGGGGGCAACCCUGACCGAGCAACGCCGCGUGAGUGAAGAAGGUUUUCGGAUCGUAAAGCUCUGUUGUAAGUCAAGAACGGGUGUGAGAGUGGAAAGUUCACACCGUGACGGUAGCUUACCAGAAAGGGACGGCUAACUACGUG